AUUGAACGCUGGCGGCAUGCCUUACACAUGCAAGUCGAACGGUAGCACGGGUGCUUGCACCUGGUGGCGAGUGGCGAACGGGUGAGUAAUACAUCGGAACAUGUCCUGUAGUGGGGGAUAGCCCGGCGAAAGCCGGAUUAAUACCGCAUACGAUCUACGGAUGAAAGCGGGGGACCUUCGGGCCUCGCGCUAUAGGGUUGGCCGAUGGCUGAUUAGCUAGUUGGUGGGGUAAAGGCCUACCAAGGCGACGAUCAGUAGCUGGUCUGAGAGGACGACCAGCCACACUGGGACUGAGACACGGCCCAGACUCCUACGGGAGGCAGCAGUGGGGAAUUUUGGACAAUGGGCGAAAGCCUGAUCCAGCAAUGCCGCGUGUGUGAAGAAGGCCUUCGGGUUGUAAAGCACUUUUGUCCGGAAAGAAAUCCUUGGCUCUAAUACAGUCGGGGGAUGACGGUACCGGAAGAAUAAGCACCGGCUAACUACGUG
rnacentral:rRNA from 1 species